rnacentral:rRNA from 1 species
AACGAACGCUAGCGGUGUGGAUUAGGCAUGCAAGUCGCGCGCGAAAGCCUUCGGGCGAGUAAAGCGGCGAAAGGGUGAGUAACACGUAACCAACGUACCCUCAGACUGGGAUAACCACUGGAAACGGUGGAUAAUACCGGAUGGUCCACUGGGCAGCAUUGCCUGGCUGGUAAACGGCGGCCGCAAGGCGGUUGCUGAGGGAGCGGGUUGCGGCCUAUCAGCUUGUUGGUGAGGUAACGGCUCACCAAGGCUAUGACGGGUAACAGGUCUGAGAGGAUGAUCUGUCACACUGGGACUGAGACACUGCCCAGACUCCUACGGGAGGCUGCAGUCGAGAAUCUUCCACAAUGGGCGAAAGCCUGAUGGAGCGACACCGCGUGCAGGAUGAAGGCCUCG